rnacentral:rRNA from 1 species
GUCUACGGCCAUACCACUCCAAACACGCCCAAUCUCAUCUAAUCUCGGAAGCUAAGCAGGAUUGCGGCUGGUUAGUACUUGAAUGGGAGAUUAUGACCAAAUUGGUACUAUAAAUU